GCCUGGGUGGCUCAGUCAGUUGAGCGCCCGACUUCAGCUCAGGUCACGAUCUCGCAGUUUGUGAGUUCGAGCCCCGCAUCGGGCU
rnacentral:tRNA from 1 species